rnacentral:rRNA from 1 species
UACGUAGGCAGCGAGCGUUGUUCGGAAUUACUGGGCGUAAAGAGUGUGUAGGCGGUGCUCUAAGUUCGGUGUGAAAUCUCCCGGCUUAACUGUGAAACUGCAUUGGAUACUAUCCGGCUCGAGGAAUGGAGGGGAGACUGGAAUACUUGGUGUAGCAGUGAAAUGCGUAGAUAUCAAGUGGAACACCAGUGGCGAAGGCGAGUCUCUGGACAUUUCCUGACGCUGAGGCACGAAAGCCAGGGGAGCAAACGGG